CACUCCUGCGGGAGGCAGCAGUGGGGAAUAUUGGACAAUGGGCGCAAGCCUGAUCCAGCCAUGCCGCGUGAGUGAUGAAGGCCCUAGGGUUGUAAAGCUCUUUCACCGGUGAAGAUAAUGACGGUAACCGGAGAAGAAGCCCCGGCUAACUUCGUGCCAGCAGCCGCGGUAAUACGAAGGGGGCUAGCGUUGUUCGGAUUUACUGGGCGUAAAGCGCACGUAGGCGGACUAUUAAGUCAGGGGUGAAAUCCCGGGGCUCAACCCCGGAACUGCCUUUGAUACUGGUAGUCUUGAGUGCGGGAGAGGUGAGUGGAAUUCCGAGUGUAGAGGUGAAAUUCGUAGAUAUUCGGAGGAACACCAGUGGCGAAGGCGGCUCACUGGCUCGAUACUGACGCUGAGGUGCGAAAGCGUGGGGAGCAAACAGGAUUAGAUACCCCAGUAGUCCCAUGA
rnacentral:rRNA from 1 species